rnacentral:piRNA from 1 species
UGGAAACGACCGGUGGCCUACCUAUC